rnacentral:rRNA from 1 species
UACAGAGGUGCUCAAGCGUUUGUUCGGAUUCAUUGGGGCGUAAAGGGUGCGUAGGCGGCGCGGUAAGUCGGGUGUGAAAUCUCGGAGCUUAACUCCGAAACUUGCAUUCGAUACUGCCGUGCUUGAGGACUGGAGAGGAGACGUGGAAAUUUACGGUGUAGCGGUGAAAUGCGUAGAUAUCGAUAAGGAAGACCAGUGGCGAAGGCGGGUCUCUGGA